rnacentral:rRNA from 1 species
AACGAACGCUGGCGGCGUGCCAAACACAUGCAAGUCGAGCGCGAAAGUUCUUCGGAAUGAGUAGAGCGGCGCACGGGUGAGUAACACGUGGGUAAUCUGCCUUUAGGCCUGGGAUAACUCGGGGAAACUCGAGCUAAUACCGGAUAAGACCACAUCACGAGAGUGGAGUGGGAAAAGCGGGGGUUAUCUUCGGAUACCUCGCACCAAAAGAUGAGCCCGCGUCCCAUCAGCUAGUUGGCAGGGUAAUGGCCUACCAAGGCGAAGACGGGUAGCUGGUCUGAGAGGAUGAUCAGCCACACUGGAACUGAGACACGGUCCAGACUCCUACGGGAGGCAGCAGUGGGGAAUAUUGCGCAAUGGGCGAAAACCUGACGCAGCAACGCCGUGUGAGUGAUGAAGGCCUUCGGGUCGUAAAGCUCUGUCGGCAGGAACGAAGGGUGGGCGUAUUAAUAAUGCGUUCAUUUGACGGUACCUGCAAAGGAAGCACCGGCUAACUCUGUGCCAGCAGCCGCGGUAA